rnacentral:rRNA from 1 species
UACGUAGGGGGCAAGCGUUGUCCGGAUUUAUUGGGCGUAAAGAGCGUGUAGGCGGCCUGACAGGUCUGCUGUGAAAACUCGAGGCUCAACCUCGAGAUGUCGGCGGAAACCGUCUGGCUAGAGUCCGGAAGAGGCGAGUGGAAUUCCCGGUGUAGCGGUGAAAUGCGCAGAUAUCGGGAGGAACACCAAUGGCGAAGGCAGCUCGCUGGGACGUGACUGACGCUGAGACGCGAAAGCGUGGGGAGCAAACAGG